rnacentral:misc_RNA from 1 species
UCCGGUUUGGCACCGGCAGUCUCCCAUGAGUCCCCGGCAUGAUCCGCUGGCAACAUGGGACAGGGGUUGCGCUCGUUGCGCCACUUAAGGCAACACCUCACGGCACGAGCUGACGACGACCAUGCAGCACCUGUGCGGGCCCCCGAAGAGGCGCCGUGUUUCCACGGCUUUACCCCGCAUGUCAAGCCCUGGUAAGGUUCUUCGCGUCGCGUCGGAUUGAGCCACAUGCUCCGCCGCUUGUGCGGGCCCCCGUCAAUUCCUUUGAGUUUUAGCCUUGCGGCCGUACUCCCCAGGCGGGGUGCUUAAUGCGUUAGCUUCGGCACAGAACGGGUCAAUCGCCGCCCCACACCUAGCACCCAACGUUUACGGCUAGGACUAC